UGUAAGGCCAGUAGAUAUUACUUAAUAGUACAUCAGACUAUUCCGUUGCAAUGCUCUAAUAAAUUGAACUACAACAUCCAGUUUAUAAACACUACAACAAAUUCAUGUAUAUGUAUAAAGAAGUGAUAGCAGCAGAAGGCCAGAUGUAUGGAAAAAUCUCGUAAUUUUUAGGCAUGUGUUUCAAUAAAACAAAUAGUAUAUGCGUUCUCGUAACAUGUAGUUGUAUUUCCCCAUCUGUUUCUGGUUAGGUCUAAAAUGGUAUGCAAUUUACGUUCGAAAAUUCCAUUUACGAAAACCCAUACCCUAUUUAUUGUGUUCUACCAACCAGAUGCCCUAAAUCUUUAUAUUUAAUACCCACUAAAGACUUAAAGCAGUUUUUUCUUACAGUUAAAAUCUGUCAAGAUCCAGGCACACCACGGAGAGGUAGCAAGAAAGGAAAUCUACAAGUUGGACAAACGCUCUACUACUCGUGCGAUCAGUGCUACCAACUUAGAGGUAGCCCAAAUAGAACAUGUCAAUGUGAUCUAAGCUGGUCGGGACGCCAACCCAUAUGCACUG
rnacentral:lncRNA from 1 species